GGCUGGGUUGUGGGGAGCUACAGGAGGACAAGCCCUGCUUCCCAUGACCAGCUGGAGCAGGAAAUCCACACAGGCAAUUGCUCCCGCUUUGCUCAGCUCCCAACGGAUUCACAAGCGCUGCUACAAAAUUGAACUUGUUAGGAGCUCACCAGGGGUAUUUCCAGUGUAAUUCAGGUCUUUGCCUGAAGGCUCUGCGUUGACAUCUCAGAAUCUCAGCCAUACCUCCACAGAAACCAGGAACUGCUAUCUGAUGAUGCGAAGCAACACGGGCUGAAAAUCUGCUCAGAAGAGCAAGUGGUGAAGAGCUGUUAUUGGAAGCCUUCUUCUCUUACUGCAGUAGUAGACUGAAGAAUAAAAUAAACAAAAAUAAUCA
rnacentral:lncRNA from 1 species